UAGAUGAGUUCCGGGGUAUAUGCAGGGAAAGUAAACAUACGAGAAUUUCGAACGUAUACAUUUUCGAAAAUCUCAUACUUUUUCGACCCCGGAACUUAUCUAAUUUCCCGCGGUUACGUGUGGAGUUAUCCUUCUUGAGCUGAAGACCACACAGAUGUCGUUGUAUUGUUACUUCCGUUGAUCGAAGUUGAAUGGAGAAAAAAAUGCAA
rnacentral:lncRNA from 1 species